rnacentral:rRNA from 1 species
GACGAACGCUGGCGGCGUGCUUAACACAUGCAAGUCGAACGGAAAGGCCCUGCUUUUGUGGGGUGCUCGAGUGGCGAACGGGUGAGUGACACGUGAGUAACCUGCCCUUGACUUUGGGAUAACUUCAGGAAACUGGGGCUAAUACCGGAUAGGAGCUCCUGCUGCAUGGUGGGGGUUGGAAAGUUUCGGCGGUUGGGGAUGGACUCGCGGCUUAUCAGCUUGUUGGUGGGGUAGUGGCUUACCAAGGCUUUGACGGGUAGCCGGCCUGAGAGGGUGACCGGCCACAAUGGGACUGAGAGACGGCCCAGACUCCUACGUGAGGCAGCAGUGGGGAAUAUUGCACAAUGGGCGGAAGCCUGAUGCAGCAACGCCGCGUGCGUGAUGACGGCCUUCGGGUUGUAAACCGCUUUCGCCUGUGACGAAGCGUGAGUGACGGUAAUUGGUAAAGAAGCACCGGCUAACUACGUG